rnacentral:rRNA from 1 species
UACCCGCUCCGCGAGUGGUGAGGACUAUUACUGGGCUUAAAGCGUCCGUAGCCGGCCCGGCGUGCUCCGCGUUAAAUCCAGCAGCCUAACUGCUGGGCUGCGCGGAUGACUGCCGGGCUUGGGGGUGGGAGAGGGCGGCGGUAUUCCCGGGGUAGGGGUAAAAUCCACUAAUCCCGGGAGGACCACCAGUGGCGAAGGCGGCCGCCCAGAACACGCCCGACGGUGAGGGACGAAAGCUGGGGGAGCGAUCGGG